ACUGUUGAUUAGGGUUUAGAUCAAGAGUAAAGAUUUCUUCUCGGGCGUGGGAUGAUUGGAUCAAGAGGGGUGGUAGGGGAGAAAUGGUCGCAGAGGAUCCUGUGGUUCUGCGCCAUCGGCAGCGCCAUCAGCUUGUACAUGGUGGCCGUCGAGAGGCAGGCGCAGAACCGGCAGCGGAUGAUUUCCGAGGGUUUGAGAGAUUUGGACGGUGCUUCUGACAAAUCUGGAGGCGAGGAUGUGUGAAUCGGUUAGAUAAAUGCCAGAAACUUUGGCCAAGCUUUGAAUCUUGCAUACUGAAACUAUGGUUAUGGCCCAAAGAAAACAAGUGUGAGAACAAACAAGAAUAAGUAGCAUGAGUUAAUUUUUCCUUGGUUUUGCCACAA